AAAUUGAAGAGUUUGAUCAUGGCUCAGAUUGAACGCUGGCGGCAGGCCUAACACAUGCAAGUCGAACGGUAACAGGAAGCAGCUUGCUGCUUCGCUGACGAGUGGCGGACGGGUGAGUAAUGUCUGGGAAACUGCCUGAUGGAGGGGGAUAACUACUGGAAACGGUGGCUAAUACCGCAUAACGUCGCAAGACCAAAGAGGGGGACCUUCGGGCCUCUUGCCAUCAGAUGUGCCCAGAUGGGAUUAGCUUGUUGGUGAGGUAACGGCUCACCAAGGCGACGAUCCCUAGCUGGUCUGAGAGGAUGACCAGCCACACUGGAACUGAGACACGGUCCAGACUCCUACGGGAG
rnacentral:rRNA from 1 species